UGGGGAAUUUGGACAAUGGGCGAAGCCUGAUCCAGCAAUGCCGCGUGUGUGAAGAAGGCCUUCGGGUUGUAAAGCACUUUUGUCCGGAAAGAAAUCCUUGGCUCUAAUACAGUCGGGGGAUGACGGUACCGGAAGAAUAAGCACCGGCUAACUACGUGCCAGCAGCCGCGGUAAUACGUAGGGUGCAAGCGUUAAUCGGAAUUACUGGGCGUAAAGCGUGCGCAGGCGGUUUGCUAAGACCGAUGUGAAAAUCCCCGGGCUCAACCUGGGAACUGCAUUGGUGACUGGCAGGCUAGAGUAUGGCAGAGGGGGGUAGAAUUCCACGUGUAGCAGUGAAAAUGCGUAGAGAUGUGGAGGAAAUACCGAUGGCGAAGGCAGCCCCC
rnacentral:rRNA from 1 species